rnacentral:rRNA from 1 species
GACGAACUGUCCUAACGUUGUUCGGAAUCACUGGGCGUAAAGCGCACGUAGGCGGAUUGUUAAGUCAGGGGUGAAAUCCUGGAGCUCAACUCCAGAACUGCCUUUGAUACUGGCGAUCUCGAGUCCGGGAGAGGUGAGUGGAACUGCGAGUGUAGAGGUGAAAUUCGUAGAUAUUCGCAAGAACACCAGUGGCGAAGGCGGCUCACUGGCCCGGUACUGACGCUGAGGUGCGAAAGCGUGGGGAGCAAACAGG